rnacentral:rRNA from 1 species
GACAUAGGUGGCGAACGUUAUCCGGAAUUAUUGGGCGUAAAGGGUGCGUAGACGGUCUAGCAAGUUAGCAGUGGGAAAUCGAGGCCCAACCUCGUGGAAGCUGUUAAUACUGCUAUACUCGAGUGCAGGAGAGGUUAACGGAACUCUAUGUGGAGCGGUAAAAUGUGACGAUAUAUAGAAGAACACCAAUAACGGCGAAGGCAGUUAACUAUUCUGUUACUGACGUUGAGGCACGAAAGCGUGGGGAGCGAAAAGG